AAAGUUAUACAACAACAUCACUCACACUACAGCGAUUUGUGGGUAAGUUAGUGAACAGUUCUAUUGCAACAUCAGUCACUCCACAGUCUGAAGGGGACAUUGAUGAAGACAAAAGUUUUACAGCAACAAAAUGGCAUAGUUAGAAAUAUAUAGACUAAGUAGUUUGAACCAACGUAUCAUUACAAAAUACACACCAUUAGCUAUGGAAUGUCACAUGAUAUUCAGAAGUCACAUGAUUAUUUAAUGCAAACAGUUUUAAUACACUUUCAUUAAUUCUAUAGUGUACACUAGUAAUUGAGCAAAUGAUAAAACAAAAGAAAAACUCAGCAGUUGGCACUAAAAUCUUCCUAUUUAAAACCCAUUCAUACACUUCCCAUGAAGCAUGUUUGUUUAAAAAAAAUAAAG